AUACGUAGGUGGCGAGCGUUGUCCGGAAUUACUGGGCGUAAAGGGUGCGUAGGCGGAAUAUUAAGUCAGAUGUGAAAAUCCAGGGCUCAACCUUGGAAUUGCAUUUGAAACUGGUAUUCUAGAGUGCAGGAGAGGAAAGCGGAAUUCCUAGUGUAGCGGUGAAAUGCGUAGAUAUUAGGAAGAACACCAGUGGCGAAGGCGGCUUUCUGGACUGUAACUGACGCUGAGGCACGAAAGCGUGGGGAGCAAACAGGAUUAGAUACCCUGGUAGUCCACGCCGUAAACGAUGAGUGCUAGGUGUAGGGGAUGUCAUGUUCUCUGUGCCGCAGCAAACGCAAUAAGCACUCCGCCUGGGGAGUACGGUCGCAAGACUAAA
rnacentral:rRNA from 1 species